UACGUAGGGGGCAAGCGUUGUCCGGAAUCAUUGGGCGUAAAGAGCGUGUAGGCGGGCCGGUCAGUCGGUUGUGAAAGUCAAGGGCUCAACCCUUGAAUGCCGGCCGAUACUGCCGGGCUAGAGUCCGGAAGAGGUGAGUGGAAUUCCUGGUGUAGCGGUGAAAUGCGCAGAUAUCAGGAGGAACACCGAUGGCGAAGGCAGCUCACUGGGACGGUACUGACGCUGAGACGCGAAAGCGUGGGGAGCAAACAGG
rnacentral:rRNA from 1 species